AUGUACAUUCCUACAAUAUAGAGUUAAUGCAUUGAAUCCCAUUAUAACUCCACAGUUAAGUGCACUCAGGCUAGAGUAGUACUCAGAUGGGUGACCUCCUAGGAAGUCCUAGUGUUUUACAUG
rnacentral:rRNA from 1 species